AACAUUUGUUGCAAGGUCUGCAUAACACUAAAGUUACAAACAAGGUGUUCUGGGCUCUGAAGGAAUUGGAUCUGUCCCUUCGAAUUCCAGUAGGAAUUGGCUUGUCUAUUUCAGGGCUCAUCGGACUAGACUCGGGUGAGCACUUUCCAUUAUUUGCAUGUCCAGUGGGUGGGUUAGGCUUACAUAAAGUAAGGAUGGAUGAAAAUUGUGUUUUUAAAUACAGUAUUAAUAUAUGGGGUGAUAUGACAUACAGUAAAUUACAUUUUCCAAAACAGGCAAUUCAUCGGACAAUGCUGUUCUCUGUUGUUGUGGAUGACAUUUUCCCCAGACCACAUGACUGAGUCUCCUUUUUCUAUCGCCUAAAAGCUAUCACUUUUCUCUCAACAGGAUGUGGCAAAACAGGAUGUGACUAGGUGUUCUCAGAAGAGGAGGAGAAUUGUUACAGAACUACCCACCACCAAAGGACCAAGCAGUGUGGUGAGGAGCAGCAGAGCUAUCUGGAGAAAUGGACAUGGGAGGAGAUACUGGAAGGCAAGGGACCCUUGGCAUAGGCUGGGGAGUAUCGCCAUCCACAGGAGGAACUGGAGGCAGCUAAGGCUGAGCGGAAACACUACGAGGAGUUGGCACGGCUGGCAAGGGGGGAAGCACACGGGAAGUGUGGCAGAGUCAGGAGUCAGACCUGAGCCAACUCCCCAUGCUUAUCGUAAGGAGCCAAGGACGCUGAAAUUUGAGGUGAGCGAUAGAAGCGAAGCAGAGACAGUGAAGGAGUUAAUGGGGAGAUUGGAGGAGAGAGUAAUGAGGGAGUUGGUGUGUUGGUGCAUGAGGCACGACAUCCGCCCGACAGAGCGUGUCUGGGAUUUGAUGCCACCUGAGUCAGCUCUCCAUACUCAUCCUGAGGUGCGUGCUAGCCAUCUGGUGAAGACUGUACCAGCCCCACGCACCAGGCCUCCUGUGCGCCUCCCUAGCCCUGCACGUCCUGUGCCAGCUCGGCGCUACAGCUCUCGAAGACGUGCUUACCAUGGCGGGCAUCGUACUGGUCAGGCACUGUGUUAUGAGGUGGAGCACACAGUGUCUCCAGUAUGUGUUCUUAGCCCGGUGCGCUACAUCCCAGCUCCCCGCAUCUGCUGGGCUAGGGUGAGGAUCCAGCCAGGACGGGUGGUGCCAGCCCUGCUCUCCAGACCUCCAGUGCGUCUCCUCGGGCCAGGAUAUCCUGCGCUGCGCACUGUGUCUCCCGUGUGUCUGCACAGCCCAGUGCGUCCUGUACCUGCGCCCCACACGUGCCAGGCCCUUAGUUCGAGACCUCCAGUGUGCCUCCACAUCCCAGUCUAUCCUGUGCCUCCUCCAAGGACCAGGCUGUCUCCCCGUCUCCUUCCUCCAGAGUCUCCCUCCAGCCCGGAGCUGCCAGAGUGUGUUGAGCACCUAUGUUGAGACCAGCUGAAAUCUCAACCCCAAACUCCCUUGUGAUUUAGUUGUUAGGUCUGGUCACUCACGGUUCUCACUCUUUGUGGCACCCAAAUUACCUUCAUGUUCAUGUUCUGUCAGUCUCUGCUAAGCCGUUUGAUACUGAGCUCUCUGCUCCAUUUGAUAAUCCAACACCGUCUACCUCGCCUCCAGUUUCCCUCUGGCACUGUGUGGCAGGUGUGCCAUGCACAGAGAGAGUGUUGACACAAGGCUCCAGCCAGGAGCGCUCUAAACUCCCAGUCGCUUAGAAUAACAUGGAGAGAGCUAAUUGUAUUACCUGCAUCACAGGGGUUGAAGAAAACCAGGAGUCUGUUGAUAGUGGCGUUGCUCAGAAGUGCAAUCCACAAGGCAUAGGUUUAUCUACUUUAUAUAUGUGGAGGAUGGAUGGAUGGGUGGAUGGAGGAAAAGUAUGAAAAUGUAUGCACUCAGUACUUUAAGUCACUCUGGAUAAGAGUGUCUGCUAAAUGACUCAAAUGCAAAUGUAAUAUGGCUGGAUGGAUAGAUGGAUGGGUGAGUGGCUGAAUCAAUCGAUCAACACCUAUCUGCUUAACUGUGAGAGAUGCUGCCCCCCCUUUCUUUAAGAGAAGGAUGAUCUAUUUGGCAUCACAUAGAAAAGAUGAAGGCAUAAAACGAAGGCUGGGUAUGAGCUUGACAUACAGUAACUGUCAAACUGCCAGCUCUGAACUCAGUCCUCUUAUCUCGCAGCGUCACUGUUUAUGGUGCCUUCAGAAAGUAUUCAUACCCCUUGACAUAUUCCACAUUCUGUGGUGUUACAGCCUGAAAUCAAAAUGUAUUAAAUAGAUUUUUUUCUAACCAUCUACACACAAUACUCCAUUGCAGCAAUUACAGAGUAUUUCUUGAAGCUCUUUGCACACCUGGAUUAUUCUAAAUUCUUCAAGCUUUGUCAAAUUUGGUUGUUGGAUCAUUGCUAGACAACCAUUUUCCCUUUCCAUGCAGAUUUAAGUCAAAACUCUAAUUUGACCGCCCAGGAACAUUCACUGUCUUCUUGGUAAGCAACUCCAGCGUAGAUUUGGCCUUGUUUUAGGUUAUUGCCCUAUGAAAGGUGAAUUAAUUUCCCAGUCUAUGGUGGAAAGCAGAAUGAACCAGGUUUAGGAUUUUACCUGAACCAUUUAGUUGAUUUUUUAUCCAGAAAAAACUCCCAGUCCUUAAUGAUUACAAGCAUAUCCUUAACAUGAUGCAGCCAACUAUAUGUUGAAAAUAUGGAGAGUGGUACUCAGUAAAGUAUUGGAUUUGCCUGAAACAUAACACUUCAUAUUCAGGACAAAAAGUGAAUUGCUCUGCCACAUUUUUUGCAGUAUUACUAUACUGCCUUGUUGCAAACAGGAUCCUUUUCACUCAGUCAAUUAGGUUAGUAGAGUAACUACAAUGUUGUUGAGCCAUCCUCAGAUUUCUCCUAUCACAGCCUUUAAACUCUUUAAAACUGUUUUAAAGUCACCAUUUGCCUCAUGGUGAAAUCCCUAAGCGGUUUCCUUCCUCUCCGGCAACUGAGUUAGGAAGGACGCUUGUAUCUCUGUAGUGACUGGGUGUAUUGAUACACCAUCCAAAGUCCAUUACAGUGAUAAGCAACGGAAUUGUCACAUUUAGUCUCCAUUUAAUGUCAUGCUACCUAGAGGUGUUUAAUCACUUAGAAAUGUCACAUCAUUUUCUCAAUUGGCCCAGCAUCAUCCAGGUUAGGGUUUGGCUGGGGUAGGCUGUCAUUGAAAAUAAGAAUCUUUUCUUUAAAAAAAUAUAUAUUUAACCUUUAUAGGGAGGACGAUUAAGAACAAUUUCUUAUUUACAAUGACGGCCUACACCGGCCAAACCCGGGUGUCUGUAGUGACACCUCAGCACCGAGAUGCAGUGCCUUAGACUGCUGCGCCACUCGGGAGCAAAGUCAGUUCUUAAGGUUAAAUUAAAAAUGAAUUUCGGGGUUAACUGAUUUCAUAUCAAGUCAAACCACGUAUAUUUUAAAGUGCAUUUCUUAUGAGUUUCAGUCCAUUACAGUGAUAAGCAACGGAAUUGUCACAUUUAGUCUCCAUUUAAUGUCAUGCUACCUAGAGGUGUUUAAUCACUUAGAAAUGUCAUAUCAUUUUCUCCUUUCCUUUAAGUUAAAAGCACACAUAUCUCCACUCCAUAAUGCUUAGAAUUCCCUACGGCGGUGCAUUCAUAAUAUACAUUUUUCCCCACGUCUUUUCCCCCACAUUUUCCCACACUGUUUUUUUUUCAGGUUAGCUGCAAGUUGACUUGAAUGUGAAUCAUCAGAAGUCAACAAUAGGUUGCACUCUCAAACCCACAGGAUUUUUAAAUAUUACAAAGUAUGCUUUCAUCAAAGAUUUGAAGCUUGCAUGAGUGAAUAUGCUAAAUAUAUAACGUAGAUUUUACAAUUAGGCCUUUUUGUGAACUGUAACUACACCAACCUAUUUUAGUGACAUUAUUCAUCCUUCUGUACAUUUAUAAAUUCAUUAAAGUGGUUGAAGUGACAACCACAUUUCAAAGACCA